AUUGAACGCUGGCGGCAUGCUUUACACAUGCAAGUCGAACGGCAGCGCGGGCUUCGGCCUGGCGGCGAGUGGCGAACGGGUGAGUAAUGCAUCGGAACGUGCCCAGUAGUGGGGGAUAGCCCGGCGAAAGCCGGAUUAAUACCGCAUACGACCUGAGGGUGAAAGCGGGGGACCGAAAGGCCUCGCGCUAUUGGAGCGGCCGAUGUCGGAAUAGCUAGGUGGUGGGGUAAAGGCUUACCAAGGCGACGAUCCGUAGCUGGUCUGAGAGGACGACCCGCCACACUGGGACUGAGACACGGCCCAGACUCCUACGGGAGGCAGCAGUGGGGAAUUUUGGACAAUGGGGGCAACCCUGAUCCAGCCCUGCCGCGUGCGGGAAGAAGGCCUUCUGGUUGUAAACCGCUUUUGUUCGGGAAGAAAUCCUCUGGGCUAAUACCCCGGGGGGAUGACGGUACCGGAAGAAUAAGCACCGGCUAACUACGUG
rnacentral:rRNA from 1 species